UCGUUUUUUUUGGUGGGGUGGAAUAGGAGUGGAGUCGGUGGGUGAGGAGAGAGAGUGGGGUACGAGGUGGUGGCGUGGUGGAGGGGGUGUGGCGGCGUGGUUGAGGCGGCUGGUAACGCGAUGGAAGGGGUCCGGUCCCGCGGUGCGUUGGCUCGGGGGGGUGGUGGUGGAGCGCGCCGUGGCGUGGUGGAUGGAAAGGGGCACGGCGGCGUGGUUGAGGGAGGUGCCGCGGUGGGGUGGUGGAGCGCGAGAAGGUGUUGGGUAUCGGUACCACGCGGGGGAAGGAGGGAUAACGAGGAAGAGCUCCUCAGGUGAAGCCCGUGCCUAGGCCGGUUGGGGUAGGUCCGAUGGAUGUCACCGCCGCAGUCCUUUACUUCGGACCAAAGUUCUACUUCUAUAAAAAAAGCAGCUACGGCCGUUGUCAUAACACACGUAUAUAGUCUUGCCUGCUUCGUUGGAUAACUAGUCCAGAGAAAAUAUAGGGGUGUGUAUAAAAAACAGUAUAGAAUAGAUAAAACAGGUUAACAAGGUGUAACUCAAGAUCAAGAUGAGUAUAACACAUAAGCUUGUUUUCUUAUCCGAAAUGGUACUCCAUAAAGAACCCAUCCAUACGCUGAAAAAGUUCUAUCAAGAAGUCAAUAUACAAAAAAGAAGUUUAAAACUCGGUUGUAAAACUAAAGGUGGGGCCCGGGGGUUUAAGGACCUCUGCCGGGACGCGUACGCCGUCACCUCGGACCGGGAGACGGCGACCUCGUCGUUUCCGACACCACCACGUCACGUGGCGCUGAGACGCACGUCACGUCAUCCGCACACGGGGGAGCUCAUGGAACGUCAUAGCUCCGCAGUCGCUUAAGAAGAGGCAGCUCCUGAACGUCGAGCGGCCGCUCACCGAGCACCAAGUGCGUCGAACCCGCACGUCAGGUGACGAGGCAGGUAGGAAGGGUACGAGCGGUCGAGUUGAGUCACGUGCUGUUCGUGUACACAUCAGGUGAAUAGGGGACGAGCGCCAGGAAAGGGGAUGAAGCUUGCAGUUUUCCCUUUCUUCUACAAGUUUCCGCCGCCGCUGCUGGACCUUCUCGUCAUAGGUGGGUUAACGGGGUAAAUAGUUAAAAGAAGAACAACCUUUAAUGUGAAGUAACAUUUUUGACGUAAAGUAAUGGUACUACCACACUAAUCGGAAGUGCAUCCGACGUCAAAACAGAAUCACGUUCACAUCGGGCAUCUUUAAAAAACUCAAACCGACUACCUCUCACAUCUAAAAGAUAUACACACAGACAUACACAUUUUGUUAGUCUAUCUAAACAUACGAAACUUCGAGUGAAACGA
rnacentral:rRNA from 1 species